GACCGCGUAGCUCACAGUUGGAAGAGCAUUGGGCUAGUAUUCCAAAGGUCGUAGGUUCGAAUCCCACCGUGGCCG